rnacentral:snoRNA from 1 species
AGCGUAAAUAUGAUGACGGUUGGCCCCUGUCAACGUUUCCAGCUGCCUGAGCCGUGAUAUGGCCAUAUCGCUGCUUCGCAUGCUGACCCGUU